rnacentral:rRNA from 1 species
GGCCCCGCACAAGCGGUGGAGCAUGUGGUUUAAUUUCGAAGCAACGCGCAGAACCUUACCAGUCCUUGACAUGGGUAGUUUGGUUUCCGGAGACGGAUUCCUUCAGUUCGGCUGGCUACCACACAGGUGCUGCAUGGCUGUCGUCAGCUCGUGUCGUGAGAUGUUGGUUAAGUCCCGCAACGAGCGCAACCCUCAUCUUUAGUUGCCAGCGGUUAGGCCGGGCACUCUAGAGAAACUGCCUGCGAUGAGCAGGAGGAAGGCGGGGAUGACGUCAAGUCCCUCAUGGCCCUUAUGGACUGGGCUACACACGUGCUACAAUGGCGGUGACAACGGCAGCGAAGGGGUGACCUGGAGCAAU